rnacentral:lncRNA from 1 species
UAAGAACUGACCAAAGGAUCGGCUCUCAACGGUAGUGCAUUGAUGUCAGAGGCUCGAUGGUUAAUAAUGUGAGGGGCAAGGGUAAAGAUCUAUCAGACCUAACAUAUGUAAAAUAUUAAAAGCAUGCAAGAUCUACAAGCUGAUACGAUCUAAUAACUGUGAAUGUUUAAACGAGGCAAGGGAGCCGAUCAAGGCAACCUAAUCAGAUCUAAAGCGUUCGAUAACUAUGAGUGACCGUCGAAGACAAGUAGAAUAUUGGUCAAAGCCUAGGAACUUCUACUUGCUAAUAUAACUCAAUAACUAGGCAUACAACCAAAUAUCGGAAUAUGAGACCUAACUCAGAAAGUUC